AUCCAGCUGGCGCAUCCCAAAUAGGACGAAACAGGCGUCCUGGAU
rfam:Schistosoma mattheei strain Denwood, Zambia genome assembly, scaffold: SMTD_scaffold0008523